rnacentral:rRNA from 1 species
UCGAGGAUCAUUUGCAAUGGGCGCAAGCCUGACAAUGCGACGCCGCGUGGAGGAUGACGGCCUUCGGGUUGUAAACUCCUGUCAUUUGGGAACAAUGUCGGUGCGGUUAACACCCGCACCGGUUGAUGGUACCAGAAGAGGAAGUCACGGCUAACUCUGUGCCAGCAGCCGCGGUGAUACAGAGGUGACAAGCGUUGUUCGGAUUUACUGGGCGUAAAGGGUGCGUAGGUGGUUGUGUAUGUCGGAUGUGAAAUAUCGCUGCCCAACGGCGAAAGUGCAUUCGAAACUACACGACUAGAGUACGGGAGAGGAGAGUGGAAUUCUUGGUGUAGCGGUGAAAUGCGUAGAUAUCAAGAAGAACACCGGUGGCGAAGGCGACUCUCUGGACCGAUACUGACACUGAGGCACGAAAGCUAGGGGAGCAAACAGG